AAUUUUGUAAAGAGUUUAUUAUCUUGAAUCUCAAUCCAACGAAACAUAUGAUACGCCCUCUAACGAUGAAUAAAUAACAACAAACAUAUACACUUGUAUAUUAUUAAAGUACUACUAUAGCUUGACUGACAAUAAAUAUUAUCAUUAAGCAAAACACAGUAAACAAUGAAUAACUACUGAUCAAAACAGAAUGAGACAAUACAUGUUCCGGAAGCUAACAAUAGGGACUGU